rnacentral:rRNA from 10 species
UUGACCUCAAAUCAGGUAGGACUACCCGCUGAACUU